rnacentral:rRNA from 1 species
GACGAACGCUGGCGGCGUGCCUAACACAUGCAAGUCGAACGGAAAGGCCCUGUUCUUGUGCGGUGCUCGAGUGGCGAAAGCGGGAGUAUCACGCGAGUAACCUGCCCUUGUCUUUGGGAGAACAUAAGGAAACUGGGGUUAAUAUAGGACAGGAGAUCCUGCAGCACGGUGGGGGUGGGAAAGUUUCGGCGGUUGUGGAUGGACUCGCGGCUUAUCAGUUUGUUGGUGGGGUAGUGGCUUACCACGGCAUUGACGGGUAGCCGGCCUGAGAGGGUGACCGGCCACAAUGGGCCUGAGAUAGGGCCCAGACUCCUACGGGAGGCAGCGGUGGAGAAUAUUGCACAAUGGGCGGAAGCCGGAUGCAGCGACGCCGCGUGCGGGAUGACGGCCUGCGGGUAGUAAACCGCUUUCGCCUGUGACGCAGCGUGAGUGACGGUAAUGAGUAAAGAAGCACCGGCUAACUACGUG